CAAUGAAAGGACGAACGGCAGUGCCAUAAGAUGUAAUUGCAGCAGGAGGAAAAAAACUACAGCAAAAAUGUCCAAUCUAAUCAGAAUUUUGGGGGUCUCCUGAUUUUGUUUUACUCUUGCCUUGCAAAAAAGGUUUAAUAGUAAAAUCUAUAUUCAGACCCAUUUGUGUAAUUGCUGAGAAGCUUGAACCAUGAACUUUGGAAUUUAACUACCAGCCUGAGAUAUAUAAUCAGCAAUAUAAGAAACUUUGAGACAGAAUAUAAUAAUCUAGAAGACCGGAGAUUGAUGCAGGAUUUCUUGGAUGUUUUACUGCCAUUGUCUUCUGGAAGAAAUACCAAGCAGCACUGAAUUAAUUCCUACAUGGAGUGGCUCCUUUCCUGACUGUGAUUCAUCUGGAAAGGGCCUGAUGCAUCCUCUUCCCCAGGCUGAUUCGAGGGACCAGAAGACAAACAUCCUGCUGGAGCUGAACCAGGCCAUUGUCUCUGCU